rnacentral:rRNA from 1 species
UACGUAGGGUGCAAGCGUUGUUCGGAGUCACUGGGCGUAAAGGGCGCGUAGGCGGGUUUGCAAGUCGAUUGUGAAAUCCCAGGGCUUAACCCUGGAGCUGCAGUCGAAACUGCAAGUCUUGAAUGUCUGAGAGGGUGGGAGAAUUCCUGGUGUAGUAGUGAAAUACGUAGAUAUCAGGAGGAAUACCGGCGGCGAAGGCGCCUACCUGGCAGUACAUUGACGCUGAGGCGCGAAAGCGUGGGGAGCAAGCAGG